UGCCCAAAAGCUUUACUAUUCUGGUGGUUAAUUUUUUUUUUUAUACAUCUUUCUUUUAGUAUGUAGAGAGAUCAACAAUGAAGCCGCUGAGACUCUUCUGACCAUCGGGAACUCAGCUCAGAUGAUCCAGACAUCAGAAAUGCCCUGUACAAGUGAGAAAUAUCUUCAACCCUCUUAUUUGCUUCAAUCCAGAUUAACACUUUCCAUCAAAUCAAAUUUGAGAUCUUCCUUAGAUUAUUGAUUCAUUAAAAUCUUUUUCAGUUGGAAAUGAUAUAAUUGAACAGUCAAGCAUUGUACAUGAAGAGGUUGUCCAUGAGGAAGUUAUCACAGAAACAGCCGACGUUGAAUUUUCAAGCUAUGAAGCUUUUAUUCCAGAACCUUCUGCUGAAGAAACCCCCACCCAGAAUAAGGAACCUAUCAAAUCACAGACAACUGAAGAUCAUCCUUGUCCCAUUCAACAUGAGACACAGGUUCCACCAAGUAAAAGAGGUCGAUUCUCCAAACCCAAUAUUGGUCAAGAUCUGAGAACCAGACAGCAGCAAACCUGUCCAGAACUUGUCACAGGUUCUUUUGGGACCUCUAUGGGUCCAUCUUCCACAGAACAGGAUAGAAAUGCAGCAGAACCCAUGCAAGAAGACUGUGUUCCUGUGGAUCACCUGCCAGACUUCUCUACCGUCCACCCUGAGGUACUACAGCCGGAUCCAUCAUCUGAAAGAAGAGAAGACCGUCCCAAAGUCAUCCCUGAAAGAGUGAAUAAAGAAGAUAAUCGAUCUGUCUCAUCUUUGAAAAGAAAGAAUGAUGAUAUAAUCACAGAGGAAAAUAUAAAAGAACAAGAAGGGGCGAGAUUAGAACCACAGCUGACUAAAAGUGUGAGUGAGUCUCAGAGCACAUCAGAUGAGCCCUCUAAACCUGUCAGGAGGUGCCGCGGACCCAAACCUAAACCAAACCUGAUUCAGACAUCCAGGCGCACACAGACCACAACAGUAUUAAAUCAAAAGCAGCCUGCUGCCGAGUGGUCCACGAACACUUUCACUAAAAGUCCUGAAGAGGGUGCGGUAGUUACCACAGAACUUGAUGUAUUCACAAGCACAGCUCAACAUGUGGUGACAUCGAGCAUUGAAUCAGCACAGACCGUCAAAGAUGUCACCCUGCCAGUUGUUUCUGAAAACAAGUCCAGACAGAAAACUGUAGUCAUGCUGGAUGAGAACAACAGAACCAAUCCUGAGGAUGUUUUUGAAGACAGCACUUUGAAUCGUUCUGGAUGUGAAUCAGAAGACACAUCUGCUGAGCCCACGCCCGAGGAACCUGUGUUUAUACUGUCUCUCACAGAAAUCCCACCCACCUUAGAUGAGGGGGCGGACUUUCGGACAGAGCCCCUCCCACCUGCAGCAGCGCCCGAGUCGCAUUCUCAUGGUCAAAGUGCUAGUGAGAGCAGGGAGGCAUCUCACCUUCUGAUCACAGAUGCUUUAGUUCCUGUGUCAGAGGAUGAGGAAAAGAAAAGUGAAUGGAUGGGUGUGGGCAAAUCAGUGAAAGGAGAAUUGAAAUGCAAGACACCAGCCUCCACAUCUCAGGGGGUAAAACAAGCAUCUUGACUUUAAGCACUAUAAAUGCUUGAUAAAUGCUGAAAUGUGACUAAUGGUGAGGCCAUUUCCUUCCUAGAGUACCAUAGAUGAGAGUCGGGCAGAACAUCAUGGUGAGAAUAUUUGCAGCACAUCAUUAUACUCUAAAAAUGAGCAUAUAUGGCACAGAUUGUAACAUCUGUUCAUGCAUUGCACUGCCCUAUAACCCAAUUUCUUUAUGUGCUAGUAGUGGAAGGAUUGGAAAGCCUUGUAGCAGAGGGGACUGAUGAUAAGGAACAUCUGGAGAAGAAAAGAAAACUACCUGACAGUACAAGGAGAGGUAAAAG
ensembl:lncRNA